GUACGUCAUCCGUUAUGGUCCCCACAGCCACAGCCUUUCUGUUUUCCCGGUCAGGAAGCUUUAUGUUCUGGAUCAUCCAGGAGAGGGACAGAGGUGGUCGGUUGGUGCGACUCAUAAACAACCUCUUCAGCACAACCUGGUUGAAUGUGGAGUUGUUCCGUCUGACCAGAAACCUGUACAGUUUGACCAACAGCCUCAGGGUGUUGGUGUCCCUCUGUUGCCCAGGCUGGAGUGCAGUGGCAAGACUGGCUCACUGCAACCUCCACCUCCUGGGAUCAAGCGAUCCUCCCAUCUCAUCCUCCAGGAGCUGGGACUAAAGGUACAUGCCACCAUGCCCCGCUACUUCUGUGAGAAAUCUCCAUACUGCUUUCCACAGUAGCUGAACUAAUUUACAUUCACACGAGCAGUGUAUAAACAUUCUUUAUUCUCUGCAACCCCACAAGCAUCUGUAUUUUUUUGACUUUUUAAUAGCCAUUCUGACUGGUGUGAGAUGGUAUUUCAUUGUGGUUUUGAUUUGGAUGUCUCCAGUGAUUAGUGAUGUUGAGCAUUUUCAUAUGCUUGCUGGCUGCGCAUAUGUCUUCUUUAAAAACUAUCUAUUUGUGUCAUUUGCCCACCUUUUAAUGAGGUUGUUUUUUUGCUUGUUAAUGUGUUUAAGUUCCUUAUAGAAUCUGGCUAUUAGACCUUUGUCAAAUGCAUGGUUUGCAAAUAUUUUCUCCCAUUCUGGUGGUUGUCUGUUUACUCUGUUGAUAGUUUAUUUUGCAGUUCAGAAACUCUUUAGUUUAAUUAGGUCCCAUAUGCGAAUUUUUGUUGCAAUGUUGUUUGGGGUCUUCAUGAAAUCUCUGCCAUGGCCUAUGCCCAGAAUGGUAUUUCCAAGAUUAUCUUCCAGAGUCUCUAUACAUUUACAUUUUACAUUUAAAAAGCUUAAGUUUCUAAAGUGUUUUUCUCAAAUGUAUGAUAUUAAAAAGGGAGGCAGAUAAUAAUAGUCACUCAAUUCAUGAGAUAUUCUGUAAUUGGUAGUGUCUGUAAAGAUCUUUAUCUCUUCUUGAUUUAAGUGGACAUUUUAAUGUGUUUUUAAGCCUCUAAACUUUGAGCAUUUCUGACCAAAUGAAAUAACAUACAAAAUGAAACACAUUAUUAUAUUUGAUUCAGAAAGAAACUUAUAAUUCACACUUUUGUUGAUGAGGAGACCAGGACAGAAGAAGCAAGAGGUAGGGAUAAUCAAAAUAUCAGAAUACUUAAGUUUGUCUCACAGAUAACUGGCAUCUAAAUAAUGUAAGAGUCUUCACCAAACUUAGGAAAUAUUUCCAAAUGUUCCAAAAGAGUAAGAUGAUCUUACUUGCCUUCAGAUAAAGAGAAUAAAUAUGCCCCUGCCUAGUACAAGAACUAGUUCUGUUGCUUAUAUAAUGCAAUAACUUCAAAUUCUCAAAAUCUGAAUUUCUUAGUGAUUCUAAUGAUUUUCAUAGUUAUGUUUAUCUUUCCAAUCAAAAGAGCUCAAUUUUAGAACAGUGGUAAAUAUUUUAGAGAUUUGGAGUGUUGAUUCAUGUUUUCUUUCAUUUUGUUCAUUGCUACUUAUCAUUUAUGUAGAGCAAAUGUGUUCUUUGUCUUCGUUUUGGGAAGAUAUGUUAAUCUUGAGUUCAGAUUAUAAUAAUGAGUAAAUAUUUCAAAACCGUCUUCUAAAUAACCACUGUGACACUUUGUUUAAAAUCAUCUUUAUGUAUAUCCACUUGGCUUCAGCUACACAGUCUAUGUGAUGGAAAAAACUUUUGGAUCUUCCCUGUGCAGUACUGGAUCUCAAAACCCCAGAAUAGAGCCAGAUAAAUCACUUUCACUCCAUAAAUAUUUUCUGAAUAAAUGAUUUUAUGAACAAAUGAAAGAAUUUGUAGUAAUUGGCUCCUGGUUGGUUUGGUCAAACCAUCAAAUUAAGUCGUAACUCUAAAAUAGAUGUCUAAUUUUCUAUUGUCCUCUGAAUUCUCAAUCCUUGUGCUCGUCCUGAUAUUCUGGCUUUUGAAUCCAUCGCUUCAGAAUUGGAGUCCUAAAUUACCUUUUAAACAUUUCAUGGAAAUUAAAGAAUCUUAUGCUUUCUACUUUCAUAAACAAUACUUGUUUAUUACCUAAGGACAUAGUAGGUAACAAUCCAUUCAGAAUCGAUGCAUUGAGGAAAGUUUAAUAAAGGCGCUAUGUACAGAGGUGAGGAUGGUGUUUAGGAAAUCCAUACAAAAGAGAACAGUGCAAGAUGCUGGGGCUAGUAACAGAGAAGUGCCAUUACCACCCUUCAGCCUGAAAGGCCAAGGGAGGGAGAAGUUACUGGACCUAGAUUGCAGGCCACUUGGUUGGCCUCUUGUAGGAGGACACAGCCAAGUUGUGGUGGGUGACCUCAACUAAAAACUAGAAGAUAAGUUUUAGUUAUGGCUAAGAAGCAUAUUAAUGCGAUGCAUACAGGUCAGCUUCCCAAAAUCCACAGAGCAGGAUGGAGAAUGUAGUGGACCAGAAGGGGCUGGAGAAAGAUACUCAGCAUGGCUUGAUACAUAAUGUUGGAAUCCAGAUGUAAGGACUCUGCCUAAUGACCGAUGAUAAAGUAUUUUAUUGUGCUUCCUACGCUAAGCCAGCCGCUUACCUGAACAGAUCUCUCUCUAUUGCUCCCUUCAAUUGUCUGUUCUAGCUCUAUGUCAUUCACUAAUGGGAACUCCGUAAUUUGCUACAGUCCUUAGCUCUAGCCUAUCUCUUCAAUCUGACUUUUUCUUGCAGGUCUGAUUUUCCUUUGAAUCAAAAAAUUGUUACUGACUCUUGAGACAGUUCAUGUGAGAAAUAUGAUUAGAGCUCUUGGAAGUGAAUAAAUAAAAUUGAAAACACUGCUUUUCUAUAGG
rnacentral:lncRNA from 1 species